GGUUCCAUGGCGCAAUGGUAGCGCGUCUGUCUCCGGUUCAGAAGGUUGCAUGUUCUAUUCACGUCGGGUUCA
rfam:Populus trichocarpa scaffold_14_contig_90, whole genome shotgun sequence.